AGCAUCAAUAGGACAGCUGUUUCCGGAUGAACCAGGGGUGCGUGGAGGUGUGACCGGCCUAGGAUUAGGACUUGGGACUGAAGGACGGGGUGGAGGAGGACAUUGGACCGGCUUGGGCUUAGGACUUGGGACUGGCUUUGGUUUAGGACUUGGCUUGCAGUUGCAAUUUGUUGCAACGGUUAAGGUGAAAAAGAGGAUGUUGAGCGCAAAGAAAAGAGCAAGAGAGGCUGAGUUCUUUGAAGCCAUUUGUUUUUUUUUUCAAAGUUAUAUUCGGUGUUGUAAGGGUUAUUGAAUAAAUAGAUAUGAAGAGAAGAUGUUGGUAUUUAUAGGAUUUUAGAAGGAUGGGAAGAGGACCAACUUGAUUUAGUUUAAAAUUUAUUUAUAGAUAUUUGUAAUUAUUUGUAUAUAUAUAUAUAUAUAUAUAUAAAUUCUGACCAUUUUUCCUAUAUGCAUGUAGCUAGGUACGUAGAACCUUGAAAUUAUUUGGAUUUUGUUUUUUGUAAACCAUUUUAAAAUUAAGAAAAUACUUUAUAUAUACGUGCAUUCAUAUAAGUAUUAAUGUCAAGUUGUCAAUGCUGUUAUUAUCAACACCAUCAUGAGUUCGUGGAUGCACAAGAUAUUCAGAUUUAUCUUGGUUCGUAGCUCUUUUACUUGACGGCUUCUAUACGUCAGGUCGAGUAAUAUAAUAAAUUCCUAGUGUAGUUAUAAUCAAGCUGAGCCCGGCCAUGGAGACACACCCAAAGUAUUUAGAAACUUACUCGAAAAUUUGUGAUAUGUAUAUAAUAUAUGAUUAAUAUAUAUGUAAUGUUUAUGAAUUUAAUUAAGAUUCUUUAAUGCAUAAAUUAUGAAGACAUUAAAAUCCUCCUACAUGAUUCGGUUUUUAGGGGUGUGUAUCAAGAACCCACAAAUUUGUUCUCUAUGCAAAAGGUUAAAACAGAGCGGUCGAGCAAUUAACUAGGACAAUAUCAUGGAAACCGCAACUCAUCAAUUUUGAUUGUUUUUUUUUGUUAUUUUUUUUUAACAUGGUUUACUAAAUAGUUAGGUUAGUUUCAUGAUUUAAUUAUUUAAAUCAAACCAUGGUUUGAGAACAAAUAUGUUUAAUUAUAUAUAAAGAACUACGAAAUUUUAACAUUUUAACAUUUUGAUUCUUGGUAGUGUCCCCACAUACAUCCAUUUGCUUCUGUCGUUGAGCUGGUUUACUGUUUCUCAAAAUCAAUAAAAACUAUUCGUCCCAAAAGAACAUUUCAUCUUUGAUUCUUGAUUGAAUCCCCACCAAGUGGUUUUCACCUAGAUACAUCCAUUUAUGAGUCUUGUAUACACCGAAACAACUAUAUAUGUCUUGCAUGCCUUAAAUAACUUCAUGGUCAUAUGCAUAUGUAUAUAACUUCAUAUAUGAUCUACUGGGAAAAAAGGCCGAGACGGUUUUGGUAUGCUGCUCAAUGAGGCGAUUGCGUGUAUUGAGGCCACACAAUAAUCAAUAAUGUGUAUUAAGCAAUUCAUUAUGUAAACGUUUAAUAUGUAACUAUCAAAAUCCUAUAUAUCUAUUGUACGGUUUGAACCCUUCGUGUAUGUAUAUUGGUCUCAGUAAGUAACAUUAAUACAAUAAUUUAAAUUCAUAUUUUUAUUUUUGGCUGAGCUCAAAGACGUGUUUGUUGUCGGCUAAGACUAGAUAUUUUAUAUUUCUACUCAACAUUAUUCAUCCAUAAGAAUCGUCUUAUGUUAGAUGUUGACGAUUAUAAUUUCUAAAUAUGUUUCGAGUUUACGUAGGAAUUGACGCUGUGACUCUGUGAGGUCCAAAUAUAAGCAAAAAUAUUAGUGGUUCCAAAUAAAGUCAACCCGAUGACGACUGAUUAAUCCUAAUCGCUCAUUUUCGUUUUUUUGUAAGAAUUCGUUGAAUCCUCCUCAUCAUAAAGAACAAAAAAAAACAUUUUUUCACGACGUUUGUCAAAAAGAAGAGAUGUGUUUGCAUGUUUUGUCAAACUACAAGCAAAUUGCGAUAUAGUACCUUAGAAGUUAUAACUAUAUGAUAGUGCAUGUAUACAUGAACUUGUCACUGUCAAGUCCUAUCGAUAUCUAAUAGAUGUACGUAAAGAAACUUUGUGUGUUUCAAGUUUUAGCUUUUGGAGUUAGGGUUUAGGAUUUGUAGCUUCAAAUUUAAUGUUUAGGAUUUGCAGUAUAGUUUUUACUUUUAGGGUUAAGUUUGAUGUAGUGUACAUUGAAGAUCAACAAUAACUACGUUUAUGAUAGAGAAAUAAAAACAGAACUAUCUGUAGUAAUUUUCGUUUUUAUAUACAAAAACAUCAAUUUGGUUUAAGAAAAAAAUAAUUAUUUUCUUGAAACAAAUCUUCAGUGAAUCUAAAGGUACCUUAAAAGUUUCAUAUAUCUUAUUAUAUAAAGUAUGGUUUUUAAAAUUACUAACUCAUAAGAUUAUGCCAUGUGUCAAGUCUAUCGAUCAGAUGUUGACACGUGUAAGAAAAUAAUUAACUUUUUUCUUCUUAAAGAAAUAGAAAUACUAAAAAAGAAAUCAAUUAACUUUUUUCUUCUUAAAGAAAUAGAAAACUAAAAAAUAAAUCAUUAUUAACAUAUACUAAUUUAUAUGUCUAUAUGACUAUAUCUAAAAAAUAUUACAUUUUGUUUUUCUUAACCAAAAGAAAAAUUAACCAAAAAUAUUUAUAUAUGUUAUUGGUCAAAUUUUUAAUAUGUAUGGUAUUAAAAAAAAAUUUAUUAUUAUUAUUUAUGGUUUGUUAAUUGUUAAUAAUUUUUAAUAUUAACUAAGAUAUAGAUUUGAUCUCAUAUAUAUAUUAUUUUGACAUGAAAUCAUUAUCAAGUAAGAUGAAGUGUGUAGAAUUAAAAUCGAGUUUUUUAUGAAAUAGAUAGUUAAAUUGUAUACAAAAUUGAAUAUGUAAGAUAAAAAUUUGUUUUUUUCUUCUAAAUACUAAAUUAUAAUAAAGAAAAAGUGUGUAGGUUACUAUUUAGACUUCAAAUAUCAUCAAUAAGAUUGAAUGGGUAUAAUAAAAUAAAAUGCAUAAGACUACUAUUUUACUAUUCAAAAUUAUAUAUCAAGAACAAUGUAUAGAUUAUUAUUUUACUAUUCAAAAUUUAAAUAUUAUCGAUAAAAAAUUACAGUUACAUCUUACACCCGCCUAUUUAGACGGGCCUUAUCUAGUAUUAUAUAAGAGCUAGAUAUAUAGCAUAUAAUGAUAUUUUGUUUUAGUAGUUGUAUUUAAGAAAAUAACUACUAUACAUAGAUAACGUUUUUAAAAGUUAUUUCUCAAUGUUGUUAGAUUUAUUUUAUGGUAUACGAUUAGUAAUUACGAAACUUUAAAUUUUUCGAAUUAGUAAGUUAUUAUGCUCAUAUUUUGGUACGUUUUUCUCUUAACAUUUCCGAGUAAUAAAACUAAUUGUCAUUCAAUUUACAGUACUAGAUUAUAUUAGUACUGUAAACCAUCUUGUUCCGUUCUAUGAUUCAUUCUUUGCGACUAUAUUUGUAAAAUAUCUUUUGCAAGACUCCAAAUUUUCCAGUGUCCCCACAUACAUCCAUUUGCGUCUGUCAUUGAGCUUAAUGUAUGUAACUCACAUUCACAUCAUCACGGGUCAUAAAACCCCGAACAUGAACUUCUAUUGGUAUGAAUGUUAAAACUGAUGAUAACAAAACAAAACAAAAAACAUUUUCUUUAAAUUUCCAUCAAGUAAUUCUAGAUGAUAUUGACAGAUAUAUUUAACGUUCAUAAAAAGUUGUUGAAAAUUUACUAAUCAGUAAUCACCUCAUGUGUUGAUCGAGUUCAGUUAAUUCACUAUCAAGAAUAUACAACAUGCGUAGCUUUACUCUACAAGUUCUUGAACUCGUGAUGAUGGAGUUUCAAAACAGAGGAAGAAGAAGCAGAGUUACAAGCUCUUAUAUCCAAUUCUUAUAAUAGUAAACCCUUCAUCCGAAUAAGAGGCUCUCUCUUAACCCUCGAUACCGCAUUAACCAGUCUCCCGUUUUCUGGUUAUGUUUUAAUCUAAACCGAGUUAACCGGAGUUCUAAACGAAUCACUUCUUCAACAGUACCGCUCAUUCAUGGAUAAAAUAGAUUAGGCAAAGACUUGAUUUCCGGUUCAAAGUUUUAGCUAAAAAUGGGUUCAUGGCCAUCCAUAUUAUUUUUCAAGAUCUCUCGGUCUUGGGCUAAUGAUUUAAUGAAACCACAUAAACAUGAUCACUCAAACCGUAUUUCACCCGGAAAAAAAAAGGAAGAACAAAUCAACUUAUGUUUGGUUGAUAAUGGUCCACUCAUAAUUUAAUGUUUUAAAUACAGUUUUAGAUUACGGAAGAUCAUGGUUUAAAGGGAAAAUUCAAACUAAGCUCGAGAUAUGUAAUCGUUAGGUUAAUAUCACGUACAAUGAUCAAUAGUUUUUUCUUAAGCAGAAAUCAACUAUUUCGUAAACAAAAAAAAACGUAUUCUACAGAAUGAAUAUGUCAAUUUAAAGAUUUAAAUUAUAAUUUGUAACGCAAGAAUUUGAAAAUGAGUACAAAAUCUCUUUUAUUAAACGGGUUGAAAAUAGUAAUAGAUUGCUACAAAAGCAUACAAGACCGGAAUACAGGAACGUUGACGGAAAAAAAAAACUAAGAAAGUCUCACUCUCACACAUUGGUUAUUUCACUUUAACAAAUUCAAAAUUUAAAACAUAAACUCUAUAGCUUACAUGCAUUUAUUCAUACUGUAACAAUUUCGAAGAAGAUAUUUGUGCACGGGCAUCACAUCGUAUGCAUAGCUGAUAUCCUUCAAGCACAUUGGAAGCCAGACGGAACCUUUCUGUUACAAACGUUGAGAAGAACACUGAGAGAUAUCGGGACGUUAAGGUUGAUACCAAGAACGUUAGCCCUAAGCGCAGUGCAAAGACAAAUGGCAGCGUCGAGGUCAACCAAACCUUGGAUGAGCGAGCAACAUGGUUGAGCUGAUGGCUGACCCAAUUGAAUGUUGAGUAGACUGCUUAAAACGUUCGCACAUACACCGAGUCUGAGAGCAUCGAUAGGACAGUUUCCAGAUGAGCCAGGGGUUCUCGGAGGCGUGACCGGCCUAGGGUUAGGACUUGGGACCGAAGGACUUGGUACUGAAGGACUUGGGACCGGCUUGGGUUUGGGACUUGGGACCGGCUUGGGUUUAGGACUUGGGACAGGCUUGUGCUUAGGACUUGGGUUGCAACCACAAUCUGUUGCAGCGGUUAAGGUGAAGAAUAUGAUGUUAAGGGCGAAGAAAAGAGCAAUAGAGGCUGAGUUCUUUGAAGCCAUUUUUUUCUUUCAAAAGUUUGUUUUAAGGAUUUAUUCAGUGUCUUUGAGAGAGUGAGAGAUGAAGAUAUAUGAAGAGAGGGUGUGGGUACUUAUAGGGUUUUAGAAGGAUGUGAAGAGGACCAACUUGUUCUAUUAUAUUUGAUUAUUCACAUAUAUUUGCAAUUCUACAAAAUAUCUGUUUAUUUAUUUAUUUGCCCUUAUCUACAUAUACAAAUUCUGACCUUUCUACUUUCCUUUAUGUAGAUUCGUAGAACCUUGAAUUAAUUUAGACAUUAAUCGUUUUUGUAAAACAUUUCUAUUUAAGAAAUAAAUAUGAUUUGUGCGUUCAUAUUACUAUUAUUUUCAAAUUGUCAAUGCUGUUAAUCUGUUAUUAUCACCACCAUCAUGAUGGUUCAUGACCUCAUUGCACAUACCUUCAGAUUCUCUUUGGAUCGUAGCCAUUUUACUUGAGAGCUUCUAUACGUUAGUCUAGUGGUCUUAGUACAUUCGAGAGGAAGUUGUGCUCUACACUCUUUUCCGAGAGGAUGUGUUUUAUCACAAACUGGUCCCAGAAGAGGAAGACAUGCUAACAAAAUUCUCGAACUUCCUCGGAAAAAAAUGUUCAAUGUGAAUGUUUUCAAAAUUUUGGAUCCUCUUAUGCAUAAAUAAGAGGACAUCAAAGCCCUGGAUGAAUCAGGUUUGUCUAUAUGCAUGGUUGUGUCAUUUGUGACGUAAAGCAAACAGUAUGAAUACAAAUUAGAUCUCAUAUGGAUUAUAUAUGACUAAUCCCAACUUGCAAGAGAAUUUAGACAAGAACAUCUCAAUUUUUUUUUCCAAUGUUGGUUAGAACAAUUUGUAUUGAUUUAUUUCUUGCAUUUGAGAUUUGAAAUUACAAAGUUCGAUGAAGAAGAGGUUUGCGGUUGGCUAAAACAACCCGUGAGAUGACAUCCACGAGAGAAUAGAGUGAUCCGGCGAUUUACUUAAUAAUUCUAAGAAGGUUUACACGAUAGUUAGUUUAGUUUCCUAAUUUGAUAAACUGCUGUUAUUUAAAAUCAAUCCAAUGUUAUUUUCUGUUCCAUUUAGAUGUAGAACUAACUUUGAGAAAAUAUGUUCACAUAUAAAAAAACAAAGGAAUCUAAAUUAUGGGUAUUAUAACCAAAAUUAAACAUGAAUGAAACUAAGAUGUGAACAUAUGAAUAUUUUAGAGUAGCAGAAUCAUUUGAUUUUCCGGAAAAGGCUGGAUAUAAUGUUUAUAAAAGUCAAUAAUAAAUUUUGUCCUGAAAGAAAAUAUCUUUUUUUUUUUAGCAAUGUUAGGACAAAAAUAUAUAAAACUCAAUUAAAAUAACAUUUGGAACUUCUUAAAAAGAAACCAAUAACAAGAAAAAAAUAAAACAGUGAUAUAUAUAUAAGGUUUUACUGUGCAUAUAUCUAUUUUAUACCUUCACAGUAACUAUUAUUCAACAUGCUUUAACGCCAAUUCAUUUCAUAACUAUAAAUAUUUGCAUGAUCAACUAUGAAACUGCUUAUUAAAACAAAAUGCUACGCCAAAAAUUAGGCCAUAAAUGUUUUAUAGUUUUUUAUGGGUUUUUAGUUUUUGGUUUGUAGUUUUUGGUUUCUGAUUUUUGUAGUUUUUGAUUUUUGAUAUAGAUUUUAGUUUUUGCAAAAUAUUGAAUAGUAAUUUGUUUAGUUUUUAGGUUUUUGACAUAAUUAUUAUUUUUCAAACGUUUUUAGUUUUGAAUAAUUUGAUAAAUGGUAAAAGUAACAUUUAAAAUAAUAAACAAAAUUGAAAAAAAAAUGUCACGUAAAUGUUUUUUAAAACCUACAAAAUUUGGUUUUUGGAUUUUUUGAAGAAAUAAGCAAAAUCUUCUAAAAUCUGGUUUCCCUAUUUUCUAAAAAUCUACUUUUUUUAAAAUCAUGAAUUGAUAAAUAUUUAGUUUUUGCAAAAUCAAAAUCUAAAAACUAUCCUAAAAACUGCAUCCAUUCAAGGCCUUAAUUUGCAAUUACCACUCUUUUGAAUUGCGCUCUCCAACUAGAAGACGUCUCCAAGUAAAACGAUUUACUGUUACAAACCAAAUUGGGUUUUCCGAACCAAACCAGAAUUUGAGGGUUUGAGUUAUUUUCUCUAAUUUUUCUAACCAAUAUUACUGAUUAAACCAGAUUUUACAAAAUUGUACAAACUUUUCUUAAAAUUUUUUCAAACCAAACCGAACCUAAAUUCUUAUGGAUCUUAGAUAAAUAACCGUAUGAAAUUAACCGAUAACCGAACCAAAUUUUGAUUCCGUUUUAUUAAAUAACCUUACCUCCUAACCGAAUUACUCAAAAACCGACUAUCCAAAUUGAACCAGAACCGUUCGGUCCAAAGUCGUAGGCCUAUAAGUAGUAAAUGUAGCAUACUAUCUUCUUCGGAAAUUUCAAUAUCUCCAAUCAAGUUUAAAUUUUGAUUAUCAAAGGCUGAACAAAGAAUUAAUCAUUGGUAUGUUCAACUACACUACAGUUUUGGAGAAAUAUCAAAUCAUACAAUCUUGAUUUCAUUGAUUGGAAGGUAUAGUAACUAGUACAACAAAAAGCUGCAGCUGGCUAUAGAACUGUCAUAAAUAUCGUAGUUUGACUAGAUUUUAGUUUUGGAUUCUACUCAGAACCUCAUUUUGUCAAUUUGGCUUAAAUAUACACGAAAUAUUCUCAUCCAAAAUUAUAAAGGAAAAUAUUUGUAUACAGAAAAUUACAUGAAAUAUUUGAAUACUAGACGCUUUUUUUUUCUUUUUUUGACAACAAAUAAAAUGGACUAUGAAACGUCUUUCAUUUAAACAAUAAAAGUUACAACAAAAACAUAUAUGCGCGGAAAAAGAUAACGCCUCACACUUAAACAAAAGAUUGAAACAUUGAACCCUUAACUUGCAUACAUGCAUGCAAUUAUUCAAACUGUGAUUAUUUUAAAGAGUAAACUGUGUGCGUCGUAUGUGUAAUUGAUAUCCCUCAAGCACAUUGGAAAUUAGACGGAAGCCUUCUGUUGCAAACGUUGAGAAGAACACUGAGAGAUAUAGGAACGUUAAGGUUGAUGCCAAGAACGUUAGCCCUAAGAGCAGUGCAUAGGCAAACCGCAGCGUCAAGGUCAACCAAACCUUGAAUGAGUGAGCAGCAUGGUUGAGGUGAUGGCUGUCCCAACUGCACGUUAAGUAGACCGCUUAGCACAUUCGCACAUACACCGAGUCUGAGAGCAUCGAUAGGACAGUUUCCGGAUGAACCAGGGGUUCUCGGAGGAAUGACUGGCGUAGGGUUAGGACUUGGUACGGAAGGACUUGGGACCGAAGGAGUUGGUACGGAAGGACUUGGGACCGAAGGAGUUGGAACAUAUGGACUUGGGACCGAAGGAGUUGGGACCUUAGGACUUGGGACCUUAGGAUUUGGGAGCGGCCUAGGCUUAGGACUCGGGUUGCAUCUACAAUUAGUACCAGCGGUUAAGGUGAAAAAAAGGAUGUUGAGGGCAAAGAAAAGAGCAAGAGAGGCUGAGUUCUUUGAAGCCAUUGUUAUGGAGAAUGUUUGAGUGAGAGAUGAAGAAAAUGAAGAGAGGGUGUGGGUAUUUAUAGGAUUUUAGAAGGAUGUGAUCAUAUGAAGAGGACCAACUUGUUUUACUUACAGAACAAUUCAUUAAUGAAGUCAUGGCCUCAUUGCACAUUUCAAUUAUUAUUUUUAGGGCUGUCAACAAAAAUUAAUUGUUUACCAAUAGUUUAAUAAAAUUACGCUUUUUAUCAAAUUAAAUGUUUAUUUCUUUAAUCAAAUUAAAUUUUUAUUUUAUAAUUAAAAUUACAUUACAAUAUUACGUAAAUAAAAAUAAAAUAAAAAGUAAAUACAUUUUUGUUUAAACAUCAAUAUAUUGUUUCGACAUCAUAUGGCAAAGUGAGAAAUGAGAUCCUUUAAACUAGUUUUAAAGAUACAGUUAUUUUUAGUGUAUAUAUAAAAAACAUAUAUAUAUAAGAUUUGUUUUGAUAUAAAAUGAAAACAUAUAAAUUUAUUUCUAGUAUAAAAUAUAAACAUAAAAUUUGAAGGAUCACAUUAUAAACAAAAAAUAUUCCACUACUCCAAACUGAAGGAUAAAUUGGGUUACCCUAAAUUGUUCCUUACUCCAUAUUUGUUCACCACAAUAUUAAAAAUAUGUCCUUUAUAAAUGAGUAAUAGUUAAAAAAAUAUACCAUUGAAAUUUCUCUCCAAACCGGUCGUAAUAAACAACCCAAAAAUUACAAAUCCUGGUUGAAUUUUGAUGCUAUGUUAUGUAUACACAGGGUUCACUCGAUCGAUAGUUUAGUUUCCUACUUUGAUAAAGUGAUACUUAAAACAAAACUGAUUAUACUGUUCUAUCAAAAUGUAAUUCUAACUUUGAGAAAAUAUGUCAUGAGCAUAAUCCAAUUAAAAACAUGUACGAUGUGAACAUACUCAAAAUAUAGAGUAACGCAAAAUCAUUUGAUUUCCCGGAAAAUGCAGAUUUAAUGUUUCUUAAAGUCAAUAGUAAUAUUUUUGUCCCGAAAGAAAAAUCUCAUCUUUUUAGCAAUGCUAGGACAAAAAGAAAAGCAAAAAAAGAUAGAGCUAAUAUUUGCACCGAAAGAAAAUAUAAUCGUUUCAGCAAUGCGAAGACAAAAAGAAAAACAAAAGUCAAUUAAGAGAAUAUAUAACAUUUGGAUUCUUCAAACGAAAUGAAGAACAAGAAAAACUAACACGGUGAUAUGGACACAUUUAAUAGUUUAAUAUAUAGUUUUAAAGAAAAUCAUACAAAAAGUUAUAUUUAUUAUUUCAAGUGGUUAUCUUUCCACCACGGUCGUACGUGGGAAUAGUAUUAAGAGUAUUAUAUGAAUGUAUUUAUUUGGGAGUGGACUCCAAGAUUUAUACUGAAUGUAAAUUUUGAGUUUAAAUUUAGAGUUGAGGUCAGAACUCAACUCAAAGACGUGUUUGUUUUUUUUGGCUAAUUUAAAGACAUGUUUGUUGUAGUCGGCUAAGUUGAGAUAGUUAUUUUAAAUGAAUUGAACACUUAAAACAUUAUAAUAGUAUUCCAUAUUUCGCGCUGAUGUUAAAGGAUCGUCAUGUUUGUUUAUUCGCCACUAAUAUGGGUCGUCUUGUGUAGACGUUACGUUGACUUGAAGAUCACAAUUUUUAAUUGUUUGAUAGAUUUACGAAAACGUACAUAUUUAUCGGCUUUUAUCUUUGGAAGUAUUUUUCAUACGGAUUACAAUUAAUGGUCCUGAUUAAAAGUCAGCCCUACUAUCACUAGACUAAUCCAAUCACACAUUUUUAUUGUCUGAAUUUGUAAAGAACUCAAUUUCAGAAAAUUCGAAAAUCAUUGACAAACAGAAACGAAAAUGAAAAUGUGGAAAUAAUUUUUGAUCCACGAAGAAUUUGAUUCUUUUUUGUCAAUUAUUAUAAAAAUUAGAACGGAAUCCAAACCGGACAAAGAAAGUUUUCAUAAAGAGUUCUCAUGAAGAAACUUAUUAUAAACAAGAAAUUAAAACCCUUCUACUUUAUUAUCACAAUCACUAACUGAAUAACUGUUAGUACAUUUGAUCAACCUAAGUCUUUAUGCCAAACUUGUGAUUAGACCCAAAAAUCAUUUUUAACACUACAGUAACACAGCUUACGCCAUGUAAUUCAUAAUAUUUUAAAACUACCUAACCAAGGUAUUUUUUUAAAAAAAGUAUGUAACGAGACAUGCAUGAAGCAGAUAUAUCAACUAAAAGGUUGAGAAAAUGCAACUAAAAAUAGACCAAAACGAACAAAUAAAUAUAAAUUAUUGACAUAAUUGCCAAAGAUAAAAAUUAGGAUGUGAACGUACUCAUAUAUUUUAGUAUAUUAUUAGCGUAACGAAAAUAAACCAUUGAUCUUCACACGAAAACAGGGGCUCUUACUUAAAUGUCAAUAAAAAAAUUUGUCCUCAAAGAAAUAUCACAUUUUCAAUGAUCCUAGGACCACAAAAUAGUUUAAGCUGACAAUAAAAAAACAACACAUUAUUUCAAACUUCUUCACAAGAAACAAAGAGCAAGAAAAAUUAACAACGUGAAGUGGACACAUACUGUAUAUGCAUAUGGAAGAGGAUUUGUAAAUGAGCAACGGAAUUUGAUUGGGCAGCUAUUUAUUACUUUUAUUGAGGUUUUACCCGACUGAACAUCAGUUUCAAUUUGAUUCUAGAUAUUUCAAAUUGUUUUAUUUCCAACAAGGUUGUAAGUAGUAGUAAGGUCUUCGAAAUAUUUUUAAAUAAGUCUUUUCUAGUUUGCUACAUAUUUGACAAACAUAGUUUUUUAAAUAAAUAAACAAAUGAGAAUUUUGCAUAUAUAUAUAUAUAUAUAAUAUGUAGCAAACUACAAAAGAAUUAAUAUGAUUUAAUUUCUAUUUUUCAAGUUAGCUACUAUAGAUUUUAACCUUAUUUAUCAGUAUUUGUUUGUUUUUUUUAGAAGUCAAGUGGUUUUAACACCAAAUUUGUUUUCCUCUCACUUAGUGAUGAUAAUCGAACCCACCAAAUAGUUUUUGGUGACACUGAGGAUUUAACCUGGCAAAUAAACUCUAGUUAAUCUAUCAAGUUGAUUAGAUUUAUUUUAUUGCAGAUAAUUAUUAUUAAUAUAUUGGAGCCAUAGGACUCGGCUUCUCUGCUUCCAGAACUGUUAUUCUAGCUUCUAAGCAUGCUCUAGUUUGGCUGAGAGAGAUCCUAUAAGUUCUGGUAUUCGUUUUUUAUAUUCAGUUAUUAAAACCUUAGAUUAUCGCAAUAUUGUUUACUUUUUAUUUCUUUUAGUCAUUCUUUGCGACUUUAUUUGUAUAUAGAUAUAUCUUUGCAAGAGUACUCCAAAUUCCCCAGUCCCCACUGCAUGUGACCACAUACGUAAAUUUAAUUCUGUAUCAUAGUAACUAACAUUUACGUUAUCACAAUACAAUCCGAACAUAACCCUUCGUACAUUCGUAUCACCGUGUGCAUGUUAAAAUAUAAAUUUUCCACAAUCUAGAAUUCGAUUUUCAUAUUCAGUUAUUCAAAACCUUAGAUUGUGUCAAUAGUGUUUUGUUUUAUUUCUUUUACUAUUUCUCUGCGACUAUAUUUGUACAUAGAUAUAUCUUUGCAAGAGUGAUCAAAAUUCCCACCACAUACGUAAACUUAAUUAUGUAUCAUAGAGCUUAAUGUAACUAACAUUUACACAUUAUCACGAUUCAUAUACAAUCCGAACAUAACCCUCCAUUCGUUUCAUCGCAUGCAUGUCAAAAUAGAAAUAACCCACAUGCAAGAAUCUGAAAAUAAGACGUUGCUUACAAAACUUCUUUCGGUAAAUAGGUUGAAAAUAGAGAAAUAUAUUGCUUCACAGGUAUACAAAUGGCGAAGACGGGAAACGUUUACAAAAUGAAACUAUAAAACUCUCACAUGUUUAUUCUAUCACUUAAACAAAUUCAAACUGAAACAUUAAAACCUACCAUUCAUGCAUUUAUUCAAACAGUAAUGAUUUUAAAGAGAACACUGCGCGCAUGAAGAGUAUGGAUAGCCGCUGAUACCGCUUAAGCACAUUGGAAAUCAGACGGAAGCCUUCUGUUGCAAACGUUGAGAAGAACACUGAGAGAUAUAGGAACGUUAAGGUUGAUGCCAAGAACGUUAGCCCUAAGGGCAGUGCAGAGACAAAUCGCAGCGUCAAGGUCAACCAAACCUUGGAUGAGCGAGCAGCAUGGUUGAGCUGAUGGCUGUCCCAACUGCACGUUAAGUAGACCACUUAGGACAUUCGCACACACACCGAGUCUGAGAGCAUCGAUAGGACAGUUUCCGGAUGAACCAGGGGUUCUCGGAGGAGUGACAGGCGUAGGGUUAGGACUUGGUACCGAAGGAGUUGGAACUGAAGGAGUUGGGACUGAAGGAGUUGGGACCGAAGGACUUGGAAUCGAAGGACUUGGGUACUUAGGACUCGGGACCUUUGGACUUGGGACCGUCCUAGGCUUAGGACUUAGGUUGCAUCGACAAUCAGUAGCAGUGGUUAAGGUGAAAAAAAGGAUGUUGAGGGCAAAGAAAAGAGCAAGAGAGGUUGAGUUCUUUGAAGCCAUUGGUAUUUUCUUUAGUGUUUUAAGGAUUAUUGAUUGAGU
rnacentral:lncRNA from 1 species